rnacentral:lncRNA from 1 species
AAGAAUCAGUGUUGUGCUAGUGCGCACCGCUUUAUGGGAAAGUAGCUACCAAAAAGAUACACUGUUGGCAAGGCAAUCGCGAAGGUGAUGCCCAUUUGCCUGCCCAUUUUGGAUCGCCUCAGGCAACUAAGGUAAAGAAUGAUUGCAUCUUUUUUAAGCUCUGUAUGCAUCUGUGACUAGGAAGUGUAUUCUUCAUGUCUUAUCCCUUUUGCAUAGCUGAGGGAGUUGGGCCGGGUGCAGUUUUGUGGAUGUGCUGAUCGUCAAGCCGCCGAGCCAGAUGAAAGAUUGCGAACUCCAUGCCCACAGGAAAUUUGCAAGUCCAUAAAGAUUCCGAGCAAAAACUAUUGUGGAGGUAAGAAUGCAUGUGCAUCUGUUUUAUACUCAGUACUGUCAGGAUAGUUGUUAGCCCGCUUCUAUUUUACUCAAGGUUGAUUAUCUGGGGUUUUCUUGCCUUUUUUUCGCUUAUGCUUAUCAGCUAAAAUUUAAAUUUUCAACCUUAAAUUUGAAAUUGAUUUUAAGAAUUU